UUGGUGAUGGCUGUUCUUCCAAAGGCAAAGGAGACAAUGGAGCAACAUGGCACCUAUCAUUGUCCAUCAGUAGGCUGUAUGAGAGCAGAUGGCCUGAGUAGAAAAGUCAAGUGAUGAUUGCAGAAUUCUGGCAACAUUCUGAUGUCCUGUGACAACAUAAGUGAGACUUACAUCAGACCCCUUUAUGGUGGUUAUAAAUCUCACCACAGUGCAGAAAUGCAAGAGCUCAGGAAAAACAAGAUUUGAAAAAAGAUGAAAUAUUCCAGCAUCAUCAAAUGCUUGGAAUGUCUUCAUUCAAAGAAAGAACACCAGUGCAAAUAUAUUUUAUCUGAUAUCAACAAUAGAAUGCUGUAACCAGCACAAGACUGUUGUUCUACGUAUGGAUUUUACUGUGUGGUCUUCCAGAAUAUGUCAUGGUGGAGAGCAUUACAUGAGUUGUGGGAUGUCCCAUUCCAAUGGAAACAAUACCUAUUGAGCUCCCCCUGUAGAUAUCUCAUCAAAUUUUUAUUUGUACGUCUGCUUUGCUCAAGCAGUGAAGCCAGCAAAAGAAGGUGUGGAAUUCCAGAAGAAGAGGGGCCUCUUGAAUUUCCAAAUUCAGUAUCAACAUAGAAGCAUUAACACUUCUUUAUGGAUUGGGUCUAAAAGUGUGCAAUAAAAUAAAAUAAAUAUGCAGAAACAUGA